GGAGAAUUGCCUGAACCCCGGAGGUGGAGGUUGCAGUGAGUGGAGAUUGUGCCAUUGCACUCCAGCCUGGGUGACAAGAGUGAAUCUCUGUCUCAAAAAAAACAAAAAAAGAAAGAAAGAAAAAAAGAAAAUUAUAAAAAUAGUCACUAUGAUUUUCAAAGAACAGUGGAUAAUAGGUGAUAACAGUUAUUUUGUUCCUUUUUUGAGGUAUUUACAUAAAGUGUACAAGUCAUAAGUAUACAGCUGGCAAGCUUUUGCAUAUGCAUGUACCUGUGUUACUACCACCCAGAUCAAGAUACAGAACCUUCUCAGCACCCCAGGAAACUCACUUUUGCUACCCCAAUUAAUAUUUCAUCCAAAAGUUAACUACUGUCACAACUUGUAAACCAGAUUAGUUUUGUCUAAUUUUGAACUUCAUAUAAAUGGCAUUAUACAGUAUAUACUCUUUUGUGUUUUGUUUCUUUCACUCAACAUUAUGUCUAUGAGAGUCAUCAAAGUUGCAUGUAGUGAUAGUUGGUUUAUUUCCAUUGCUGAGUAAUAAUCUAUUGUAUGAGUAUACUUUAAUUUAUCCACUCUUCUGUUGAUAAACAUUUGGGUUGUCUGCAGUUUUGUUGACUUUUAUGAAUAAUAUUGCUAUGAACCUUCUUGCAUAUGUCUCUUGGUGGGCAUAAGCCCUCAUUUCUGUUGGACAUAUAAUAUUCAUGUAUUUAGCUUUAUUAGAAACUGUCAAACAAUUUUCCAAAAUGAUUGUACCAAUCUAUACUGCCACAACAAUGUAAGAGAAUUCUAGUUGAUCCAUGACCUCAGUAUUUUUAGGCAUUUUAAUUUUAAACAUUCUGGUAAAUAUAUAGUAGUAUCUUGUGAUUUUAAUUUUCAUUUCCCUAAUAUUAUUAAACACCUUUUUAUAAAUUUAUUGGCCAUUUGAUUUGGGAAUCUCUUCUCAUUUUAAAAAUUGGAUUGUCUGUCUUUUUCUUAUUGAUUUGUAAGCAUUAUUUAUAUAUUUUGGAUAUUAGUCUUUUGUCAAUAUAAAUACACAUAUAUAUAGAAAAUAAAAAAAAAAAAAAA
rnacentral:lncRNA from 1 species